rnacentral:tRNA from 1 species
GACUUAAAAUCCSUCGACUUUUAAAAUCGUGAGGGUUCAAGUCCCUCUAUCCCCAAAAAAGCCUAUUUGACUCCCCAAAAAAAUAUUUAACCUAUCCCC